GCCGAAAUAGCUCAAUUGGUAGAGCAACUGACUUGUAAUCAGUAGGUUACGGGUUCGAUUCCUGUUUUCGGCA
rfam:Clostridium sp. CAG:628 genomic scaffold, scf57